CAUUAAGAAGCUAAUCUAGCGUUAACCUUUUAAGUUAAAGAUUGAGAGUCAAAACUCCCCUUAAUGG
rnacentral:tRNA from 1 species